rnacentral:rRNA from 1 species
CAGUAGCCGCGGUAAUACGUAGGGUGCAAGCGUUAAUCGGAAUUACUGGGCGUAAAGCGUGCGCAGGCGGUUUGUUAAGACAGAUGUGAAAUCCCCGGGCUCAACCUGGGAACUGCAUUUGUGACUGGCAAGCUAGAGUCUGGCAGAGGGGGGUGGAAUUCCGCGUGUAGCAGUGAAAUGCGUAGAUAUGCGGAGGAACACCGAUGGCGAAGGCAGCCCCCUGGGCCAACACUGACGCUCAUGCACGAAAGCGUGGGGAGCAAACAGGAUUAGAUACCCCGGUAGUCCCUGUCUCUUAUAC